UUAAGUUUCAAGUUGAUUGGACUUCAGCUUCAUCAAAAACUACCUUGACCAAAAACUUUAAUCUGAAACUCCCCCUUUCAUUUUCUAUGUUCAGUGGACCGUGAAAUUGGGGUCAAAAGUCUAAUUUGGCUUUAAAAUUAAAAAGAUCAUAUCAUAAGCAACAAGUGUACUAAGUUUCAAGUUGAUUGGACUUCAGCUUCAUCAAAAACUACCUUGACCAAAAACUUUAACCUGAAACUCCCACUUUCAUUUUCUAUGUUCAAUGGACCGUAAAAUUGGGGUCAAAAGUCUAAUUUGGCUUUAAGAUUAGAAAGAUCA
rnacentral:lncRNA from 1 species